rnacentral:rRNA from 1 species
CCUGGCUCAGAUUGAACGCUGGCGGCAGGCCUAACACAUGCAAGUCGAGCGGUAACAGAUUGAUAGCUUGCUAUCAAUGCUGACGAGCGGCGGACGGGUGAGUAAUGCCUGGGAAUAUACCUCAGUGUGGGGGAUAACUAUUGGAAACGAUAGCUAAUACCGCAUAAUCUCCGAUCUUUUACGAGAUGGGAGCAAAGCGGGGGACCUUCGGGCCUCGCGCGCUGAGAUUAGCCCAGGUGGGAUUAGCUAGUUGGUGGGGUAAUGGCUCACCAAGGCGACGAUCCCUAGCUGGUCUGAGAGGAUGAUCAGCCACACUGGAACUGAGACACGGUCCAGACUCCUACGGGAGGCAGCAGUGGGGAAUAUUGCACAAUGGGGGAAACCCUGAUGCAGCCAUGCCGCGUGUAUGAAGAAGGCCUUCGGUUGUAAGUACUUACUAGUUGUGUAGGAAGGCGGUUAGGUAGGUUAAGUAAG